rnacentral:rRNA from 1 species
GAUGAACGCUGGCUGCGUGCCUAAUACAUGCAAGUCGAGCGAACGGACGAGAAGCUUGCUUCUCUGAUGUUAGCGGCGGACGGGUGAGUAACACGUGGAUAACCUACCUAUAAGACUGGGAUAACUUCGGGAAACCGGAGCUAAUACCGGAUAAUAUUUUGAACCGCAUGGUUCAAAAGUGAAAGACGGUCUUGCUGUCACUUAUAGAUGGAUCCGCGCUGCAUUAGCUAGUUGGUAAGGUAACGGCUUACCAAGGCAACGAUGCAUAGCCGACCUGAGAGAGUGAUCGGCCGCACUAGAACUGAGACACGGUCCAGACUCCUACGGGAGGCAGCAGUAGGGAAUCUUCCGCAAUGGGCGAAAGCCUGACGGAGCAACGCCGCGUGAGUGAUGAAGGUCUACGGAUCGUAAAACUCUGUUAUUAGGGAAGAACAUAUGUGUAAGUAACUGUGCACAUCUUGACGGUACCUAAUCAGAGAGCCACGGCUAACUACGUG